rnacentral:rRNA from 1 species
UACGGAGGGUGCGAGCGUUAAUCGGAAUUACUGGGCGUAAAGCGCAUGCAGGUGGUUUGUUAAGUCAGAUGUGAAAGCCCGGGGCUCAACCUCGGAAUAGCAUUUGAAACUGGCAGACUAGAGUACUGUAGAGGGGGGUAGAAUUUCAGGGGUAGCGGUGAAAUGCGUAGAGAUCUGAAGGAAUACCGGUGGCGAAGGCGGCCCCCUGGACAGAUACUGACACUCAGAUGCGAAAGCGUGGGGAGCAAACAGG